rnacentral:lncRNA from 10 species
UAUUCAAAAGUGAUCUUAUUUUAAUUGUUUGCUGUUCAGCUCUAAUCAAAAACUUGGUUGAAGUUAGCAAAAUAUUUAAAAAAUACAUACCCAGGCUGGGUGCGGUGGCUCAUUCCUAUAGUCCCAGCACUUUGGGAGGCUGGGGCAGGAGAAUUGCUUGAGCCCAGGAAUUUGAGACCAGCCUGGGCAACAUAGGGAGACCGUGUCUCUACAAAAACUGAGAAAAAUAAUUAUCCAGGCAUGGUGGUGUGCGCUGUGGUCCCAGCUACUUGGGAGUCUGAGGUGGGAGGAUCGCUUGAACCUGGGAGGCCAAGGCUGCAGUAAACUGUGAUUGCGCCACUGCACUCCAGCCUGGGUGACAGAGUGAGAUCCUGUCACAAAAAAGUGUGUGUGUGUGUGUGUGUGUGUGUGUGUGUGUGUAUCCUUUGUCCCAGUGAUUUUACUUUUAGAAAUUUAUCAUCCAUAACAAUAGAGCAAUGCACAAGGAUGUAAAAGAAGGAAACCCAUUGCUCUGUCUCAGCACAACUGGAAACAACUUUGAUGUCCCCCAGUAAGGACUGAUUAAAUAAUUAGCGUUCAUUCACAGGUGGCUUCCAAGGCAGCCAGCAAAAAUAACAGUGGCCACAUGAAAACAUAAUGUGUGCCACAUGAAAAAAGCACACAGAUAGGGAGAGGGCAGGAUACUUCCAUUUUCUAUUUUAUAUACAUCUAUCUAUAGCUCUUGAAUUUUUUCACAAGGAGUAUAUCUUACCUUUACAAUUCAUAAAUAAAUUUUAGUGGAGGUGGCUAUCCUGCACAAGGCAACUGACAUGUAAAAGGGACCAUCUAAGGGGAUGCCUCUUGGCCUCCUACAUGUUGUUCAAUGUCUAAAUAACUGUACAAAGGUUGUCACUACUUCAAAUAAAACGUGGUUACUCUGCAAGAUGAGGCAAUCAAUGCCCUUUGGCUAACAUAACUGAAGUUCACAGUUGCUAUGAAAAGAAAAUCCAUUCUAAUUUUCAGAAAAAUUGCAGAGCGUACCUUUCAUACCUAUACCCUAAGUUACUAAAAUUUAAAUGUUAAAUGUUUCAAAAUGGUAUAUAGACUUAGGAAGAAUUUUUCCUUGUGUGUUUUUUUUUUUCCUUUAACUUCCUCAUUGGAUUCUAGGAAGAAUUUUCAUGGUAAUAAUCAUAUGUAGUCUUUACAGCUUGUUUUAUUUUUUUCUAAUAAAGCUAAUUCAGUUCACCAGUUAUCUACCACUUGCGGUUUUAAAGAUUAACUCAUAAAGAAUAAACAAAUUGUUUACUGCAAACUUUGUCUUUAACUGGAAGUUAAAUUAUUUUUACCAAUGACAAAGGUGAAAAUGUUGUUUUGAGAUUCUUUGCUGGUAGUAUCUCCCUUUUGCAGACAGCAGACUGUGAGAAAACUAGGGCUAUCACACAGGCCAUGCCAGAGGGAGAAAAAGGAAUAACCAAUAUGAGACAAAAACCACCAAGUCCACUAGAUCUUC